CGCACACGCACACCCAUUCUCUUGUAAAGCCCUAGAGUUGAAGAUCAGUCAUCUCUCUUUCAAUCUCCAAACAAACAACACUUUCAGAGAAACUACUACUGCGACCACAAUAUGAAUCCGGUGGGAGAGGGUAGGAUAAGUAAACUGAUCCAUUACUUCAUCAUGUACUCUCUUUUCUUCCUACCAAAUGUGUUGUUACCACUAGCAUCUUGUCGAAAAGAUGGAAGGAUGUGUGAGUGUAUGUUCCGGUUCUUGAUUUUCAAAACUGGGAACCUCCUAGAAUCCUUUAUACUACGUAUGAAGAUUAUGAUAAAGAAGCCAUUGUCUUGGAGACGAAUAAGUUCAUGGAUUUUGUUGAUAGGAUAUUUGCACAGCGCAAUAUGUUAAAUGUAAACAAGUUUUGUCUUGAUUGUGGUUUUUUCGAUCAUAAGCGGGUAAAUGCGUGGAUCACUACGGCAAUCAAAUGUGGAGUUGAAGAAUUCAUUUUUUCUGGGUGUUUCUCAUACUUAAGCAAUGGCAAGUUGAUUUCCUGAUUCCCUUUUCACUUGUGAAACAUUAACCACGUUAGACUUUCAGAUUGAAGAACAAAAUAGGUUGAUCUUCCAGGAUCAAUUUCUCUUCCAAGAUUGAAGAUCCUCCAUCUUACGAAUUUCAUAUAUUAUGAUGAGAAAUUGGCAGCAAAACUCUUUUCUAGUGGCCCAGUACUUGAAGAAUUGCGGUUGACAGAUUGUGGUUUGCAUAAUUUUGAUUUCAUACGUGUUUCAGCUCCUGCAUUGAAGUCCUUGACUCUAAUCGGUUGUUUGAGAAGUAAUAUGGAAGGUGUCAAGCCUGUCAAGGUCAAGAUUGAUGCACCAAAUCUAAUGUCCUUCGCUUUCUGUGAUUGUCUACCUGAGGAUUUUUGUGUGGAUAACUUUCCAUUGGUAGAGAAUGCAGAUUUAUACUACCAGCAUAGCGACAUAGAGAGCAGAUUCCUUCCUUUGUCUAAGUUUAUAAUGAAGCUCUGCACUGUAAAGGUCUUGAGUAUAUUCAGGUGCUUACUUUAAGGUUCUCAAGCUCGCAAAGGCUCUGUCUACUAGUUUCCCUACUUUCCAUAAUUUGAUCCGUCUGGAAGUAUAUGUCAUUCGUUAUCUGCAAAUGAAAACAUUACUCAACUUUCUAGAGUUCUCGCCGAAUUUGGAAGCACUCAUCAUCAAUAAGGUUAAAUUUAGUGGCAAAGUGAGUGAGAACGCUUUAACAUUUGGAAAAGUGCCUCGUUGCUUGGAAUGCCUCAAGUCAUUCGAGAUUCAGCAGUUCAAUGGGUGCUGGAGAUGGUUAAAUUUGUUCUGGAGCAUGCAAGAAUUCUUCAAACCGUCAUCAUGGAAACUUUAUAUAUCGUGGAAAGAUGAUUAUAUGGAUCCACGCAAGAAUAAGAAAAAUCUUGAUGCUACGGAGGUUGAAGCUUUGAAUAAGAAAAUUCUAAUGCAGUUAGAGAUGUCUCCAUGGGGUUCAACAGGUUGUGUCAUUAAGUUUUCAAGCUUCUAAAUCUUGUUUUUUUUUAACUCUCGUCAAAUCAUGGAGUAGUUUGCCAGUAUGACAUCUUCUUUCAGAAUUGUGAACAGCUAUUGCCUUUUACAUCAGUUGGAACGUCAGUUGGUAGCGGAUUUUUUCGAACUUUUUGAAGCUUGAAUGUGUUGAAUCCAAUGUUGUGAUAGACAAUCUUUUCUGAGUGAAUUAUCGGAAAUUUUUU